rnacentral:rRNA from 1 species
AUUGAACGCUGGCGGCAGGCCUAACACAUGCAAGUCGAGCGGAUGAAGGGAGCUUGCUCCUGGAUUCAGCGGCGGACAGGUGAGUAAUGCCUAGGAAUCUGCCCGGUAGUGGGGGAUAACGUCCGGAAACGGGCGCUAAUACCGCAUACGUCCUGAGGGAGAAAGUGGGGGAUCUUCGGACCUCACGCUAUCAGAUGAGCCUAGGUCGGAUUAGCUAGUUGGUGGGGUAAAGGCCUACCAAGGCGACGAUCCGUAACUGGUCUGAGAGGAUGAUCAGUCACACUGGAACUGAGACACGGUCCAGGCUCCUACGGGAGGCAGCAGUGGGGAAUAUUGGACAAUGGGCGAAAGCCUGAUCCAGCCAUGCCGCGUGUGUGAAGAAGGUCUUCGGAUUGUAAAGCACUUUAAGUUGGGAGGAAGGGCAGUAAGUUAAUACCUUGCUGUUUUGACGUUACCAACAGAAUAAGCACCGGCUAACUUCGUG